ensembl:lncRNA
GUAUUACCUUUUAUUAAUAGGCACUGUUUCAAAGAGGAUCAAAUGAUUGCUUGUCCAAAUUCCAUGGGGUGUACUUAUUUUUUCACAAGCGUAUUUAACCCUUUCUAACCAUGAUGUACUUUGACCCCGUUCUUCCCCUCGUUAGUUUUACCACAACCUCAAAUGUUCAACUUCAGCGCAACGUCUGGAUCGCGCAUCGUGCCGUAGCUAAUCCCAACCGAGCCGAUAUUCAGCAUCACCUGCACAGCUGUGAGUCUGAGAUUGCUUUUAUACAAGUUUUAAGAAAUUAAUAUCAAUUUUUUUCCACAUAUGGCUAAAUAUUUUGUUUAUUUUUGAACGAGGCAUUACAGGGCAUUAAAGCCAAAAGGUCAAUGGAGAAAGAGUAAAAUGAAGGAGAUGCUGGUCAUUCACGUUGAGUUUUAGAAUCCAGCCUCAGGGUUUUCAAUACAUUACGGCCUUUAAUUCUGCACAUCAGCUCGCCUGCAGCGUGAGGAUACUGCUAGAAUACUGUUCAAAGAGGAUUUAACACGAUUCAGCUGGCAAACAAUUCAGUUUUUGUCCUUGAGUGUAAGCCUCGCCACUGACGGCGUCAGGAUUUUAAAAUCUGCGCCUGUGUGUAAAUACGGUCAAUGCCAAACCGGAAACACACACAAAACCUAUACGUUUUCCUUUGCUUGCUUUUUUUACCCAACAUUAAUAGCCUGAAGUAAUCGUGAGUGUAUGAGUAUAAAAUAUCACUAGAAUGAAAGAAAGUGCAAUAUGCAGUGUGUGUGUGUGUGUGUGUGUGUGUGGGGGGGGGGUGUUCAUGAGGUUGCAAUUACUAAAAUAAGGAAGAGGUUAUGAUUCCCGAGGUUGGGAUUACCGCGGAUAAGGUUCCCGAGGUUGGGAUUACCGCGGAUAAGGUUCCCGAGGUUGGGAUUACCGCGGUUACGGUUCCCGAGGUUGGGAUUACCGCGGUUAUGGUUCCCGAGGUUGGGAUUACCGCGGAUCAGGUUUCUGACAUUAAGGUUACUGGAAUAUGGUUUAGCGAUUAGUGGUUGCGUUCCUGGGAUUACCGAGAUAGCACUACAGAGGGUUACCAAGAUUAGGUUCAUUGAAAGUAGGCUCAGGGUUACCAUGCUUAAAGGCCAAGGUUAUUGAGGUUGGGUUUAGGUGUAGGAAAAGCAUUUUUAUUUUUAGUUCCUGUAAGAUACAAGUCAGUGGAAAUACUCCUCAAAACAGGAAACCUGUGUGUGUGUGUGUGUGUGUGUGAGAGAGAGAGAGAGAUUCAGACCGGUCUACCCCCGAGGAGGACGGGGCGGCUCCAGAAGAAUGAGAGUUAAGUAAUAAUUGGUUAUCAACCUGAUAACAGUGGUAUCUUAAUUUCACCCAUCACCAUACUCCGUUACAUAAUUAUCAACAGAAACCCUGCUGCGCGCAAGAAGCCUGGUGUUACUCAGUCUCACCAAGUCAGGCGA